rnacentral:sRNA from 1 species
UCCUAGCCCGGAUAGAAACGGCAUCCUUUUUUCCAGCGGGCGGAGUGCAACGGAGACCGCUGGAAAAAAGAUACAGUGGAUAGCCGGAAUUAGC